rnacentral:rRNA from 1 species
AACGAACGCUGGCGGCAUGCCUAACACAUGCAAGUCGAACGAAGCCUUCGGGCUUAGUGGCGCACGGGUGCGUAACGCGUGGGAAUCUGCCCUUGGGUUCGGAAUAACAGUUAGAAAUGACUGCUAAUACCGGAUGAUGUCUUCGGACCAAAGAUUUAUCGCCCAAGGAUGAGCCCGCGUAGGAUUAGGUAGUUGGUGGGGUAAUGGCCCACCAAGCCGACGAUCCUUAGCUGGUCCGAGAGGAUGAUCAGCCACACUGGGACUGAGACACGGCCCAGACUCCUACGGGAGGCAGCAGUGGGGAAGAUUGGACAAUGGGCGAAAGCCUGAUCCAGCAAUACCGCGUGAGUGAUGAAGGCCUUAGGGUUGUAAAGCUCUUUUACCAGGGAUGAUAAUGACAGUACCUGGAGAAUAAGCUCCGGCUAACUCCGUGCCAGCAGCCGCCGUAACAC